rnacentral:rRNA from 1 species
AACGAACGCUGGCGGCAUGCCUAACACAUGCAAGUCGAACGAGAUCUUCGGGUCUAGUGGCGCACGGGUGCGUAACGCGUGGGAAUCUGCCCUUUGGUUCGGAAUAACAGUUGGAAACGACUGCUAAUGCCGGAUGAUGACGAAAGUCCAAAGAUUUAUCGCCAGAGGAUGAGCCCGCGUAGGAUUAGCUAGUUGGUGUGGUAAAGGCGCACCAAGGCGACGAUCCUUAGCUGGUCUGAGAGGAUGAUCAGCCACACUGGGACUGAGACACGGCCCAGACUACUACGGGAGGCAGCAGUGGGGAAUAUUGGACAAUGGGCGAAAGCCUGAUCCAGCAAUGCCGCGUGAGUGAUGAAGGCCUUAGGGUUGUAAAGCUCUUUUACCCGGGAUGAUAAUGACAGUACCGGGAGAAUAAGCUCCGGCUAACUCCGUGCCAGCAGCCGCGGUAA